rnacentral:rRNA from 1 species
UACAGAGGUCCCAAGCGUUGUUCGGAUUCAUUGGGCGUAAAGGGUGUGUAGGUGGCGCGCUAAGUCGGGUGUGAAAUUUCGGAGCUUAACUCCGAAACUGCAUUCGAUACUGCCGUGCUUGAGGACUGGAGAGGAGACUGGAAUUUACGGUGUAGCGGUGAAAUGCGUAGAUAUCGUAAGGAAGACCAGUGGCGAAGGCGGGUCUCUGGACAGUUCCUGACGCUGAGGCACGAAGGCCAGGGGAGCAAACGGG